rnacentral:lncRNA from 1 species
CAUGCUGUCUCACAAUCUCUGUAUUUUUCCCAUUUUAUAGAUAAGAAAACUGAGGCUCAGAGAUGCUGCCACUUGCUCAGGAUCACACAGCCAGUGGAUUAGGAAAUCCAGACUCAGACCCACAGGACCCCCCCAAGCUGCCCUACACAACUCCACAGUAGAGCAUGGCAGUGGUUCUCCUUGAGGAUAGAACCACCUGGAGAGUUUAGGGGACCCUGACCCAGACCGAUCUCUGGGUUGCGGACAAUGCAUCGAGGGCUUCAGGCUCCCAGCGGCAUCAAAGCUGAGUGUAUAUGAUGACAUCUAAACUCAGUGUGAAGGCAUUAGGCAGUGGAGCCUUCAAGAGGGGACCAGGUGAAUGAAAUUAGUUUCCUUAUCAAAGAGGCUCCGGAGAGUUGCCCUCUCACCAUGUGAGGACACAGUCCGAAGGAACAUCCCUAUGAGCUAGAAAGCAGGUUCUCACCAAUAUAGCACCUGCCUUGGUCUUGGUCUUCCCAGGCUCCAGAACGGGGAGAAGUGAAUUUUCAUUAUUUACCAGCCACCUAAGAUGGUAUUUUGUUACUGCAGGCAAAAUGGGCCAAGAUGGACAGGUGAAGUGGAAAAGGCUCCUUUCUUUAGGCCUGUGGAGUGGCCUUCUGGCUCUGCACCUCCACUUCAGCUUCUCAGGAUAUAAACAACCCACCUCGCCCACUUCACAAGGCAUGGGAAUCAAUGGAUGAAAACUCACUGUGUGAAUUCUAAAGGGCCCAGUGGGAUAACAGACCAGGCCCUGGGCAGCAAGGCCCAAGACCACUCUCUGAGAAGCACAUCAGGAGCUACUUCAGGGCUUAGCCUAAUAACUGCUUCAGAGUCGAGCGCUUGCUAAGUUUUCGAACAAUAACAGCCGAGCUGGAGGAGGCUCCAUGAAGGAAGAGGAGGCUUCAUGAAGGCUCCAUGAGACCGUAAUAGAGGCUACAGGCAUGGACGUUGGGCAGAACAUUAUGGUCCCCAUCUCCUAAGAACCUCCUGAACCCCCACCCAAAUGAAAGCUCUGCGUUGCAUUACACUCCAGGCCCCCAAGAUGUAAAGGCAGCCCUGGGAACUGAGCAAGCCAGGAAAGAUGGCCCCUGGACAGCAGAGACAACAUUGUUAGCAGAAGUGGGUCCCUAUUUCAACGAAAUGAAAACCACUCCACAUCUCAGUUCCCAGUUCACAAAGCAUGUUCACUUUUAUGAGUCUGUAUGUUGCUCCUGGCUUCCCAGAGAGAGAAGAAACCCGUGGCAAAUAUCCAUUUACCCAUUUGCGCGAAGAUACACCUGAGUAAACCAAUUACCCAGGUCACAGGUGGCU